GCUUACGGCCAUACCACCCUGAGAACGCCCGAUCUCGUCUGAUCUCGGAAGCUAAGCAGGGUUGGGCCUGGUUAGUACUUGGAUAGGAGACCGCCUAGGAAUACCAGGUGCUGUAAGCU
ensembl:rRNA 5S_rRNA 5S ribosomal RNA